AUCAAAAUUGUUCAGAAACCUUCUCGUCUCUCUGCUACUCGAUCUCUCUCAUCUGUCUCAGUGACGCCAUCGUUGUGGAUUAAACUAUGUCGUUUUGGUUCCCGCACGGAUGACCUUCUUUCCCCUUACCUUCAGUCUUCAUUCCAAACCCCUAUCUUAACAGCUUCUCCCCAAAUCAAAAAAGAAAGUUGAAACAGGAAAUCCUAGCUUCUCCACCACCGCCGCAAGGACUGCCGGCGUCCGUCGCUCUCAAGCACUAUCAUCGUCGUCUGGUCGUCCGUGCUUCUUCCUUCUUCAAGAAUCGCAGCUUCUUCUUUCUUGAGCUUGGCGCGUUAGUUCCUGGUAUUCAUCUGCUCCAUCGCGCUCCUGCCGCCGUCCGUCGGGCGCUCAAUCACCAUCGUCUUCGUCUGGUCGUCGCAGAUUCUUCCAACCCACCACCAUCUUCUGAGUUGUGUUCGUCGCCUGGCUUCUGUCUCCGUCAUGAUUCUGCCCCCUCUUCUCAGACUGCUCAGAAGAAAAACCCAUCUCCAUUCCAGUUUCCUUCCUUCUUUCGAGUUCAGAGAGCAGAAGCUCAACCAAGAAAAAAACCUUAGACUUGGACGACUGAAGAAAUCACUCUAAUUCAAGAGACAUUAAAAGAUAAGACCAACACAUCAGGAAUAGAAGUGACCGAAGUUCCAGAUGCAGCCACAACCAAGAUACCAGGAUUGCCACAAUAUCCUAUGCAUCAUUAUCCAGUGGUCCUUCCUUAUCAACCUUAUGGUGGAGUCCUCCCUAUUCCUUUUCAUCCUGUUCCAAAUGGCAUGACAUACUUCAACCAAUAUCCUUCUACUGCCAGAAUUACAUCAUAUCCUCAGUUUUCUCAUGUCUCGUCGUAUUCUAGUGGACCCAGUGAUAGCAAUACAUGGGCUGGACUUUUGAAUGAUGUCAUCAACAACAAAAAGCCAUAGAGUUAUAAUCUAUAUAUUAUAUUUUUAAUUUAUGCAUGUUAAAAUUGCUGAUUAUAUAUUAUAUUUUUAAUUUUUGUUACCCCUUGUCUGUUUAGUAAUGACAGAAUGUGCAGAUAUUGGCAUCCACAAUGAAUGAUUAUUAGUUCACCAGUCUGUGUUCACUUUUUAAGUUUUGUUUUAAGAUAAUAUUUUCUGUUGAAAGUUUGUAAUGUGCCAUGGUGUUUGAGGUAAGUUAACCAAUUUUACACCUAUAUUCUCCAAAUUACAAAGAAGUAUUUUUGUUCCCCUACUUAGUAGUUUUCCUCCAUAAGAAGAUUUUUCAAAGAUGUAUUUCAAUAUUUGUUAUUUCUCUCAUCCAUUUGCAUGGCAAUGGUGUCUGGCAGGUUGUGAAGGUUGAUCCAACAAUGAGUCCUAUUGCUGAGGGCGGGACCAAUAAUCAAUCUGCUUGUCAUAAGAUUUGGGGCUCUAAAGAUUCUGAAAAAGGCCUCCAUGAAGAAUCUGCUCUAGUUGCAAAUAAUUCUCAUUCAAAUAUUGAGAAGCUCCAAAAUCUUUUAUUAGAUUCAAAGGGGGAGACACUGUCACAAACAUCCCUCGCUGUUCUUAAUCGAGAGAAGAAUGAGCUGAUGUGGAAGAUAGUCUGGAAACAACGAUAGAUGCCAUUAUAGAGGGUUGUAGUUAUUCAUGGGAAGGAAAUCAUGGAGGGAUAAGAAAAAAUCUUGAGGAUCCAUGCUUAGCUCCAUUUAAUGAGAUGAAAAGUUGGAGAGAGUCUGUACUCAUUGCACAAAGUCCUUGCCAGGCAAGACAAUUUCAAACCUAAUACUAAAUUAAGCAUGUUGUGAUUGGUGUUUGUGGUGCAUUCACAUGCUUAAGCUAUGUGUUUGAGUAAAACAACAAGAACCGGUUUAACGAAUCCGUGCUUAAUAUGCAUAUUUUGUUUCAGUAACUGUGUUCUUUUGCAAAUGGCCUACAAAACUUUGUUAAUUUCCCGUUUUAUUAGAAUUCUUAGUAUUGAUGUCAUGCCGUAUGGUUGGAAGAUGUGAUAUGAGUUUUUGAAACAGUAUGAGAAAGACUUUUGAAGAUAUUUGCAGUUUAUGUUUGAGGAAAAGAGUAUUGUGUAAUGUGGUUCUCCU